rnacentral:rRNA from 1 species
ACUCCUACGGGAGGCAGCAGUGGGGAAUAUUGGACAAUGGGCGCAAGCCUGAUCCAGCCAUGCCGCGUGAGUGAUGAAGGCCCUAGGGUUGUAAAGCUCUUUCACCGGUGAAGAUAAUGACGGUAACCGGAGAAGAAGCCCCGGCUAACUUCGUGCCAGCAGCCGCGGUAAUACGAAGGGGGCUAGCGUUGUUCGGAUUUACUGGGCGUAAAGCGCACGUAGGCGGACUAUUAAGUCAGGGGUGAAAUCCCGGGGCUCAACCCCGGAACUGCCUUUGAUACUGGUAGUCUUGAGUUCGAGAGAGGUGAGUGGAAUUCCGAGUGUAGAGGUGAAAUUCGUAGAUAUUCGGAGGAACACCAGUGGCGAAGGCGGCUCACUGGCUCGAUACUGACGCCGAGGUGCGAAAGCGUGGGGAGCAAACAGGAUUAGAUACCCGAGUAGUCCCA